GACGAACGCUGGCGGCGUGCCUAAUACAUGCAAGUAGAACGCUGAAGAGAGGAGCUUGCUCUUCUUGGAUGAGUUGCGAACGGGUGAGUAACGCGUAGGUAACCUGCCUGGUAGCGGGGGAUAACUAUUGGAAACGAUAGCUAAUACCGCAUGAUAUUAAUUGUCGCAUGAUAAUUAAUUGAAAGAUGCAAUUGCAUCACUACCAGAUGGACCUGCGUUGUAUUAGCUAGUUGGUGAGGUAACGGCUCACCAAGGCGACGAUACAUAGCCGACCUGAGAGGGUGAUCGGCCACACUGGGACUGAGACACGGCCCAGACUCCUACGGGAGGCAGCAGUAGGGAAUCUUCGGCAAUGGGGGGAACCCUGACCGAGCAACGCCGCGUGAGUGAAGAAGGUUUUCGGAUCGUAAAGCUCUGUUGUAAGAGAAGAACGGGUGUGAGAGUGGAAAGUUCACACUGUGACGGUAUCUUA
rnacentral:rRNA from 1 species